AGUGAACGCUGGCGGUAGGCCUAACACAUGCAAGUCGAACGGCAGCACAGUAAGAGCUUGCUCUUACGGGUGGCGAGUGGCGGACGGGUGAGGAAUACAUCGGAAUCUACUUUUUCGUGGGGGAUAACGUAGGGAAACUUACGCUAAUACCGCAUACGACCUACGGGUGAAAGCAGGGGAUCUUCGGACCUUGCGCGAUUGAAUGAGCCGAUGUCGGAUUAGCUAGUUGGCGGGGUAAAGGCCCACCAAGGCGACGAUGCGUAGCUGGUCUGAGAGGAUGGUAGGCCACACUGGCACUGAGACACGGUCCGGACUCCUACGGGCGGCAGCAGUAGGGAAUCGUCAGAAAGGGGGUAGAGCCUGACGGCGCAACGAGGAGUAAGUGAUGAAGUUCUUAGGAUCGUAAAACUCUGUUAUUAGGGAAGAAGAAAAGGAUAAGUAAAUAUGCACGUCAGGACGGUACCUAAACAGAAAGAGACGGCUAGCUACGUG
rnacentral:rRNA from 1 species